rnacentral:lncRNA from 1 species
CAUAAAAUCCACCUCAUUAAUUAUUGGAACUUGAUGAUUUUUCCUAAUUAAGCAAUGCAACUUUGUUCACUUCCAAAUUCUCAAUCAACUUGUAGCAGUAAUAAGAGCUACUAGUUAGUUGUUGUACUAUUUUCUUCUCAUUUUUUUCUCUUCUUUAUUGUCAAUUAAAUUAAUUAAGAUCUCAUUUGCACAAUUACAUAAAUGAUGAAUUUUUUAAUAAUCACUUGGUGCCUUAUAUAUAUAUAUAUAUAUAUAUAUAUGAAGUGUAUAAUAUUAUUUUAAUAAGGUUAUUUUGAAUUUCAAAAAAUGAAAAUCCAUCCAACUGAGUGAUAGUUAUAUAAGUGACUUUUAAUUUAUUUAUAGUGUUUUAUAUUUUUAAUAUAACAAUAUAGUAUUUUAUAUUUUUAUAUUAAAAUCUAACACCUAUUUUUACACUAUCUAUACUAAAUUAAACUUGUCAGCAAACUGAUUGAGAUUGACUAUUAAAAAGCCUAUAUAAGUCCAUUCAGAUCUUAUAAUUGACUAUUAAGACCAAUUAAUUAGGGGUUCUUUAAAAUCCUUAAACAUAAUUGACUUGAAGAAAUUAAUUGAAGAGACAUACAUCGCACAUAUAAUAUCAAGUCAAAAGGAGCAAACCAAACCAUUUUCCAACCUGAUCAAUAUUUAAAAAAUAAGGGGGUCUUUAUUUAUUGAACCAUAUAUAUAUAUAUAUGAAAAGGAAAUAUAUAAAUCAUGGUUCAAUUUUGCAUAUAAAACAAACAUAAUAAAUCAGUUUUGGUGAGUUUUGUUAACCCUUUUUGUUCCAUAAUUAGUUGGUGGAACUGAAUAGAUAGAUGCAUUUAUGUGUUUUCAAGUCACAUAUUGGGUGUGCGUCUAUGCAUCUUUGCCCCUUAACACAAUCAACAUUCUUAGUGCAUCCUACUGCAUGACUUCCUUGUCCUAUCAACAUUCACAUCGUUGAACUAGUCAGUGACGUAUUGUGACACUCCCAAAAUUUCUAAGUUAUGACCUGAAUCAUUCUAUAACACCUCACAACUGUACUCUUAAAAUUUGAAUAAUUCGUGUAACACCCCGGACUUUAAAAAGGGAUAUAGAGGGGAAACGAGCAAGUUCACGAACCCAAAAUGGACCCUUCACGGCACCCUAGACGGUCCAUUUAGGGGUUCACGACCCGUUUUGGGCAUUGUGAAUGACCAUCCAAGGUUUCCUAGACAGAAGUCACCUAGACGGGACCCUAGACGGCCCGUGGUGACUUGUACGGUCCGUUUAGGGGUCCAUACAAGUCACCCAUCAAUUUUUAAGUUUUGUCUCAACUUCAAAUGAUCAAAUCUCUCCGCACAUAAUGAAUUAGGUGGUCAUGACCUAUCAAAUUAAAGGUCUUUGAGUCUUCUUUUCAACAUCACCAAGUUUGCCUCAUUUCGAGCCCGGAGUAAAACGUUAUCCCCGUUUUAGUGAAGCACUGUUAGGAAGGUGAAGCUUCUCGACCGGCUAGACGGUCCGUAAAGAGUUUCACGGUCCGUAAAGCCUUAAACGGUCUGUGAAACCGCCCGUUUUAGGCACCUUUUCAGUUUUAAAAGUUGGAGUCAUUUUGGUCUUUCCCCUAUGUCGUUUUAGAUCCUAUUCUAAGUCGUUUUUGAGUGUUUUAACUGAGUAUAUCAUUCAACUAACUAGUUUUCAUCAAUCAAAACAUUCAAGUAUUUUGAAAAUUCUCUUAAGACUCACGUCUAGGGUUCCUCUUCUCCAUGAAGAACCCUAAAACUUUCAUGCCAAAAAAUCAAGAUACAAAGAGAAGCCUCCCACCCUAGGUUUUCCCAAGUUCUUCCAUUCUAAUAACUUCAUAAAAAAGUUUCUUUUAUCAAGAGCAAGCACCAAGAUUCCAACAUUUAUAAAUAAUUCCGACUUAUCACUCUCUUUUGAUUUUAACACUUACAAAUAAUUUGUCUCCUAAGACCAUUUAGGGGUUCGUCAAAAUAUAAGAUUCUUUAAAAUCUUUAAAGAUAAUUCAUUGAAAAUAAAAUAUAUGGCGCAAAUAACAAGAAGUUAAAAGGAGCAAACAAAACCAUUUUCAAACAUAAUCAAUAUGAAAAAGGGGUUCUUUAUUUAUUGAACCAUAUAUAUAUUUAUGAAAAGGAAAUACAUAAAUCAUGGUUCAAUUUUACAUAUGAAUAACAAACAUUGUAAAUCAGUUUUGGUGAGUCUUGUGAACCCUUUUUGUUCCAUAAUUUGGUGGAACUGGACAGUAGCACUUAUGUUUUUUCAAGUCACAUUUGGGGUCUGCAUCUAUGCAUUUAAUAAUCUUAUCACAAUCAGCAUCCUUAGUGCAUCCUCGUUUCGCAUGACUUCCUUGUCCUACCAACAUUUACAUUGUUGAACAAAUCAGUGACAUAUACAAAUUUUUUUUAUAACACAUAAUCAAUAUUUGAAAAGGUAAAUAAAUUAUUAGUUUUACUGGUCGAUACAUAUAGCUUAAAUCUUAGACACAUAAAUUGAUAAGAAAAUUGCUUACCGAACAACAUAAGCAAAAUGGAGAUCAAGAAAACCUUAAGGAAUGUUGCCAUCUCCAUUUUCUUUUCCAAGUUUUGUGAUAACACAAGAGUAAUUAACUAUAUAUGUGAUUGUUAUUAUUGAUUUUAAUUGUCAUUCUUAGCAAUGUAUUUAUAGGGAAACAAAGACAUUUGGUUGAUAGAGAAAUAAUAACUUGGAAAAAGAAAUUUAAUGUACUUUCCCUAAAUUAAAGAAGUCAAAUCAAAUACUAAGGUUACACAAUACAAGUAAUCUAAAAUCAUUAAUAUGGUCAACUAAUGAUUUCUUUUUUUUUUAAAUGGAUAAAUUGAAUUAUUUUGAAAAGUGGGUAAAUUUGCCUUUGUUGUUUGAGAAGUAGAGUCGUUAGUGUGGGCUAGGUCCGUUAGGCUGGCCUGGCCUGGCCUGGCCUAACCCAUGAUUUAAUAGGGUUGGGCUAAGAUUUUUGGAGCCCAUUUAAGAAAAGGGGUUUUUAGCCCGGCAUGAAUAAACCUGAUGAUUUGUGGGACUUGAUAAAUAUAAGUAGGGCCGGUCCAUAGGCCAAAUAAAAAUUAAUUAAAAAAUAAAAAUAAAACAGAGUACUAAAAAUAACAAGAGUCCAAACUCAAAAUGUAACACCUCGGAUUUUGAAAGAGCUAAAGAGAGGUUCGUACAAUUCACCCAUCAGUUUUAAGUUUGGGUGAAUUUCAAACGACUAUAUCUUUUAACACUUAAAGAGUUAGGUGUCUCAUGACCUAUCAAAUUAAAGGUCUUUGAGUUCUCUUUCCAACGCCACCAAGUUUGCUUCAUUUAGGCUUGGAUUAAAAAGUUAUGCCCGUUUGAGUGAAGCAUCUCUUCUAAAGGCACCUCAAUCAUUUUUAGAAGGGUAGUUUGGUCUUUUCUUUUUUCCUUCUAAGCCUAGCCACGUUUUCUUCACCCAAAUAAGGGUCUAAUCAAAUGCUAAACCACCUUUUCACGUUCCUAAACACUUAGAGAAAUUAGAUCGAGAUUCUAAGAGGAGAAAAACUCAAGCAUUCUUCAAGAUUUGUCGAUUUUCACCAAGAACAUUGUUGUUUCUAGGUAUGUAAGGAUUCUCAGUGUUGGACUUGUUCAUCCUCACGCCAUACAUCUAGUUAUCCAUGAAUUGUUGUGUCUAAAGACUUCUUGAGUAGUUCUUGAUAAUUGUUGAAUUCCUUUACAAUGGAGAUUGUUAAUUCUUGUGUGUUGUGAAUCUUUAGUAAAAGUUGUGUUUCCCAAAGGGAUUUUGUUGAAUUCCUUAUGUAUUCGGGUUGGGUUUGAUAAUCGAUAAGAAUUUAGGAGAAUUUCUCCCAUUCUAAACGAGUUAAGACCCUAAAUUGAAUAUAAAAAUUUGUCGGAUUUCUGGGUAUGGGGUGGGGGCUCCCUAAAUUUUGGUCUAUAGUUUGAGGCCUGGCGACCCAUGCCAGCAGUGCAUCCCAAACUUUGAUCACUAGGUUGGGGCCUGGCGCCCUACGCCAAUAGUGCGCCAAGGUCUCUUGGUCUUUUUCUUUUCGUGCUUCAUUCAGGACGUGUUCCUUUGAAUCGUGACUGCAUUCUCUUCUUUGUAUUAGUUCCUAAUGGCUCCGUUCAUCCUUUAGAGAUCCUACAUAUCCUAAUCACAUGUCUUAAUUUACAUUCCAAACUAAAAUGAGUUUAAGAAGAAAGUUCAAGAGAUCUUUUGAGUCAUUUGGAGGAUUCUUUUGUAAUUAACAAUGGUUUUGAACCAAGUCUUGAGAAAGUAAGUAUGAGUAAUGAGGAGAGUUGUAUUCAUAAUUGAAAAAGAGUAUAAGAGAACUAAGUAUUCCUAAAUAUAACACUUUUAUAUUUAAAGAGAGAAACGUUGAUUUCUAAAUGAGUUUAUGGGUUCAGAGAUAUUUUAGAGUAUUAUCUAUUUUAAGAGGAUCUAUUGAGUAAUUACCUCAAAUUGUGAAAGAGUUAUGUUUUAUACAUUUGAGCAUGAGUUUAUAUAUGUAACACCUCGUUAAUCGAAAGAGCUAGAAUUAGAAAGAACCAUUUUUGGAAAGAAUGAUAAAUCUGAAAUUUGGCAAAGUUAUGUUAAGUAUGAAUUUUGGGUGAACUUCAAACGCCACCGAGUUUGCUCAAAUACACGCACCAAAUUUUCAUUUCAUGCUCAAAUAGCAAAAAAGAUAAAUUCUAAUCCAUCAGGAUCACACAAUUUUAUGUCCUUCCCAUAAAUAAUGUAGCUAACUAAAGAAAUUAAAUUAAUCUAAGACUAAAAGGUAACACAAUCUUUUCUUAUGGGACAUUCAAUAACUAAUUAGAGAAAAAAUGUUUUAAGUUUUACACAGGGUGUGUUUGGUAUGAAGGAAAAUACUUUUAGAAAGUAUUUUCCAAUUUUCUCAUGUUUAACUUAAAUGUUUCAAAAAAUAUUUUCUCAAAUGAACUUAAAUUUUUUUCAAAUUAAGGAAAAUGACUUUCCUACAAAGUAAAGAUCUAGAAAGCAUUUUUCAAAAUUCUCUUUCAACUUUAUCACUCAAAUGCCGACCCCGACUUAGGAGCCAACACCUGACCCAACUCAAACUAGAUUCCUUACCUUGACUCGGGCCCUGACCCUAUUGUCGGCCCACGACCCAAAUCUAACUUACACUCGACCCAAGACCUAACUCCCGAUGCAUACCUGACUCUUAACCCUUGACCCAACUCCCGACCUCGAGCCCAACCCUACACCCUAUUUCCAACCUUGACCCAGGACCCAACCUCGACCUUGAUUUGAAACCCAAACUCCUGACCCCAGCUCGAGAAACUCCCAACUCUAAUCCAGAACCUCGACACUAGUAUUGAACAAGAUCUGAGAUGUAUCUCUUGACCCUGACCUUGACUCGACUCUUUCUGGUAACUAACUCCCGACCUUGAUCGUGAUUUAGGAUCCAACUUUAUUGUCCCUGAUCCAAUUUACAAACCAAAAUCAACUCCGAACCCUACACAGGAUCCAACUCCCGACCCCUACCCAGGAUACAUAAACGUGCCCUUUAACUUGACCUCAACUGAUAAUUAUGCCCUCCAACAUCGGAUGUGCACAUGUAGACACUUAAAACUUGUAUAAAGUUGAACUAGUAGACACAUGUGUCCUACGUGACAUGAUACUCGUAGAACGUCACGUGAGACGCGAAUUGCCACAUACACGCCUCUUACGUGGCAUAACAAUCUUUUUAAUUAAUUAUUCUUAAUAAUGGGGAGAAAUCGGAUUCAAUUCACAUCACAAACUCUGAGUCAGUUCAUAGAUGGUCACUCAACGUUAACUUUGUUGCACUUAAUUGACUAAAAUAAUUUUAUAAUAAAAAAGUUACUUAUAUUUGCCUAACUAGUAAGUUGAUAUGUAUCACGAAAAGUCAUAAGGAGGAAAUAAAAGAGACAUUUUAUAUGAUACACUUAAACAAAAUUGAAUGACUUUCUAUCAUGAAACUUAUACAAUAACAAAAAUUAGUUUAACUUGAACAAAAUUACGUACAUCAUUUACAAAAAAAUAAUAAUUCCACGACUCUUCGGUACGAUAAAUCAAAAAUGAAUUGACAAUCCAAGAAAUCACCCCUUACAAAUCAUUAGGUUGUUCGUUCGCGUUAACUGCAAGUGGAGCUCCAACUGGUGGACGUGAAGGAGAUUUGCAAUAACACUUACUUGUUUUCAAGUAACAUGUAGGAUUUUGAGCAGGAUUCAAACAUUUCAAUAGAACAGCGCAAUCGGGAUCAUUUUUACACAUAGAUUCAUUAUAAUUUGGUUUACUAUUUGGAAGUUUACAAUAACAGUUUUUUGUACUUGCAAAACAUGCAGGUACUCCCUUCAAACAAUUCAAUUGUCUAGCACAAUCUGCAGAUGUUCUGCACCUAAAAGGUUUAGUAUCAUGUGGAAGUCUGCAAUAACACAUGUUUGAUAUGUAGUAACAUACAGGAUGUCCUUCAUUGCAUUUUAAAUUUUUUAUGCAAAUGUCACUGUCGUUGCACCAAGUAACUCCGUUGAUUGUUUGUCCUAACAACACCAUUGAUAAUAUUGUCGCGUAAGUUAGUUAAAACAUAUCUGAAGUAUCCUGAUAUUUUGUCUAAAUAUGAUUAUAACAAGAGUUAUAAGACUCAAAAAAAAUGUAGAAUGGUUUUCUGAGUUUUGUCAUGAACUAUCAGUUGUUCACUUUUCCUACCUGAAGUUCAGGUGUGAUUUGAUAGACAUUUGGUGAUAGUUCAGGUAGAAAACUCAGUCAUCUGAUAGUUCAGGUCCAAAACUCAAAAAAAAUAAAAAUUAGGUGUGUUUGACGAUUUAUAUUAGUGAACAUUUCAAAUUAGGUAUAGAAAAGGUGUCAAUUUUUUUACGAUUAUAAAAUAGUUGAUUAAAUAAAGAGAGACACAAUUUGUUAAAUGUUUUGAGAGUACAAAUUUCUAGUAUAUAUAUUUAAUUAUUGUGUUCGUUUAGCAUGUUUGUGUUAGUGUGAUAUUUAAUUAGCAUCAACAUCAAUAUUCAAAAAAUUCAUCACAAGAAACACAAAACAAAAUUAUCUAUAUCCAUAAGUUCUUAACAUUUUUGGGGAUAUAUACUAAUUAAGAGAUCUAAUUGGGUCUAUGGUGAUCUUCUAUUUAGUGAGAUCUUCUAUAUCUUCAUGAUAUUCAAUAAUAAGAAGUUGUGAAUCGUAUAUCCCCAAGGUAUAAUAUGUAAACACCUAUGUAAUUAUUUUUUGGUCAGCUAAACACUCUGCGCACAUAAAUAUCCGUUAAAAAUUAGAGGGGUUGUCGCUGUUUUUUUCAUCGACAACUCCUUCUUAAAUCGAAUAAAGAGAGAAUAGCUAGCUAGAUUUACUUACCUAACAAAAUAACCAAAAGGGAAACGAAGAAAACCUUUUGGAUUAAUGUUGCCUUCUCCAUUCUCUUCAAAUUAGUAUUUUGGUAUUAUUGAAAAUUUAAAGUACUGUUAAUUUAGCAAUUUAUAUGUUUAUAAUAUAGGGAGGAAAAGGCAUUGACCACAACUUAUUGAUAGAGAAAUAAUAACCACAAAUUAAAACCGCAUUUUCAUAUACUCCUCACAUUAUGAACUUCCUUAAACUUUGCUUUCAUCAAUAUUUAAUCUUAAAAAUGAAUAUAAUAUAUUAAAAAGAAAAAACUAAUGGAUAUUUUCCUCUAUAUAGGAGUGGGCAUUUGGUACGUGAAUAAUUUAAUAUGAGCGUCGAACAUAAAAAAUGAGAAUUGAGAUGGGUCUUGCUCUGAUAUCAUGUAAAAUGAAAGAAAUAGAGAUAUGAUUUGGAAAUUUUCAACUGAGUUUCUGAAACCCAUCUAAAUAUGCAUAUGCCUAUAAUAUAUAAAUGUGUCUUUUAGCUUGCAUCAACCGACAUUUAUGCUUACCAACUUUGAAUGCUCAAACUGGUCUUGGCCAUCUCAUGUAAAUGGUUGCCUCUUUUGUCCAUCUUAGCUACCUGUAAGUUGGAACUUUUGCUUCCCUCCCACUGGAGGCGGAUCCACGCAUGAUUCAUAUGUGGGGUGCACGUGUAUCCUUUAACUUCCGAAAAAAAUUAUGUGUGUAUAUAUAUAUACCUUGAGAAACUGACAAAAAUUAGGAUAUAAUUAAGAGUGCACGUGCACCUAGGGGUGUACAUGGUUGGGUUGGUUCGGGUUUUUCAAAUAUCAAACCAAACCAAUAAAACUCGAGUUUUUCAACCUUGAGUUUUUUCGGGUUUUUCCGCUAAAGUAUUCAUACAAACAUAUAAUUUACUUGUACUUCAAAUAUUUCUUCAGUCCUACCAAAAUACAACUAUCUAAGGUGUUUCUUAAGAAUACAACACAAACAAUGAUAUGCUUAAUGACACUAAAAUAUCCAAAUAAUAAUAAAAUCAUGUAAAACAAAUAUUGCAAAUUAACAAGUCAUAAUGAAAAUGAUCAUAAUUUAAAAGUACUAAAUCAUUCUAAAAUAAGUUUAAUAAGUAUUAGUUACAUGACUAUAUAUUAAAGGAAAUUAAAUUAGAUUAUGUACUUUAAUUGUCUAAACCAAUGUAAAACCAAAGAACAAAAUAUUCAAUAUUAUUGUCAUUCUUAGUGUUAAAUUGAUUUUCUUUUUGCAUUAGUAUUAAUUUGAUUUUGAUUUAAGUUUUAUUAUAAUUACCAACUUCUAUGGACUAUAAUCUUUAUGGAACCAUUCAAAAUUCUAAGUUUCAAACUUGAAAUAAUAUAUUAAAAGAUAAAAACUAUGAAAAAGUAUAAGAAAUAUUUUAAAAUUAUAUCAAAGUAAAUAUUUUUAUGUAUAAAAUAAAAUUUUAAAAUUAUAUAUAUAAUGUCGGGUUGGUUUUUUUUAGUUUAAAACCAAACCAACCCAAAUGUAGUCGGAUUUUUUUUUCCAACACCAAACCAAGUCAAACCAACCACUAGUCGGUUUGAUUCGGUUUGCGGUUUGAUUCGGUUUGCGGUUUGGUUCGAUUUCGGUUCAGUUUUGUAUACCCCUAGUGCACCCAUGAGUAAUAUAUGAAUUCCCUUGUGUUGUUAGUACAAGCUAGAGGAACUACCUGCGAAACCAGGGUUAGAGCCCUAUUUCACUCGAAAUCUUCAAAUCCUGAAUUCGCCUGUCUCCCACCUCUUUGCAUCCCCUUGUAACUAGAGGUAAGGUUUGAUAGGUGCUUAAAUAAUGCACAAGGUAAGGGUCCGCGCUAAACCCCCACCACCACUGGAGACAUUUAAAGUUAUAUAAAAUCGAAUAAGUAGACACACAUAUCCUACAUGACAUAAAAUUGACAAAUUACCAUACAAUAAACACAUGCAUCCUACGUGAUAUAAUUAAAGCAAUAUUGAUCAUUCUUAAUGAUGGUUGAAAUAUUGAAGUUCAAUUCACAUCACAAACUGUUAAUCUGUUUCAUCGAAUAUCACUCAACGUUUACUUUAUUGCACUAGAUUAUAUUUUUAAUCAUAAAAGUUACCAGUAUAUCUUUGCCUAUAUAGUAAGUAAAAAGUCAUAAUGAGGAGGAAACAAAAGAGACAUUUUAUAUGAUACACUUUGACAACAAAGAAAUAGUAACAAAAAUUAUUUAAACAAUUUCUAAUUUCUACCAAAAAAAAAUAGUUUAGCAACUAAAUCAUCAAGUUACAUCAUUUACAAAAAAAAAUUAAAAAAAAUGUAACAACUUUUGAGUACGAUAAAUAAAAAUCGAAUCGAUCAUCCAAUAAAUCACCCUUUACAAAUCAAGUUGUUCUCUGGCGUUAACAGGCGGAGAUCCAGUUGGUGGAUGUGAAGAAUUUUUGCAAUAACACUUAUGUGUUUUCAUGUAACAUGUAGGAGCAUCACCAGGAUCCAAACAUUUCAAUAAAACAACGCAAUCAAGAUCGCUAUUACACAUAGUUUCAUUAUAAUUUGGUCUACUAUUUGGAAGUUUACAAUAACAAUUUUUUGUACUUGCAAAACAUGAAGGUCUCCCAUUGAAGCAGUUCAAUUGUCUAGCACAAUCUGCAGAUGUUCUACACCUAAAAGGUUUAGUAUCAUGUGGAAGUCUGCAAUAACACAUGUUUGAUAUGUAGUAACAUACAGGAUGUCCUUCAUUGCAUUUUAAAUUUUUUAUGCAAAUGUCACUAUCGUUGCACCAAGUAACUCCCUUGAUUGUUUGUCCUAAUAAUAUAACCAUAGACAAUAAUAUUAUAUCGAACAAGUUAGCGAAAACAUAGCUAAAGUAUUCUACUCUUACUAUCCCAAUUUAUAUGGCACUUUUCGUUUUUCAAAGGUCAAACUAACCAGAAAUUUGCGCAUGAAAUCUUCAAUUUUCUUGAAAUGAAAUUUAUAUAUUUGUAAACUAUGUAAAAAGUACUAUAAAUCACAACAAUUGAUAAUUCAAAAUGUUUAAAAGAUCUAUGAAAAAUUUACAGUAAAAAAUAGACUUGUUUGAAUCUUGAAAUCUAAAAAGUGUCGCAUAAAAUGGGACGGAGAGAGUAAUAUUUGUCUUCUAUUAACAGUUAAAAGGGUCAAAAAUACAUAUGUUAUCAAAGACAAUGUUAACAUCGAUGGGGAAAAAACGACGGACAGGAUCGAUCCAAAAAGAUCAAGGAGAAACCAACCCAGUCCGUCGGAUUAUAUUUUCACGCGAAAAUAAUCAAAAAGUUUUUAAUUCCUUUUUAAAGAAAAUCGAGACUAUGUUGAUUUUUUAAGUAUAAAAUUACAGUUGAAGAGUAUAAUAAAAAUGAUGAAAAUAUUUCAUUAAAUAACAUAUGUGAUCGAGUGGUAGAAUAGCUCCAGUAAUAGAAAAUACCCCUAUUGGUAAUGCAAAUUAUGAUCAGGUGUGUGAGUUUCCUAUCUGAACUAUCAUGUGUUCACUUUUUCUACAUGAAAUUUCCUACCUAAAUAAUGGUGACAUUUCAGAUAGAAAAAGUGAACUAAAUAGUUUAAGUGUGUUUCGAUAAACACUUAGAGAUAGUUAAGGUAGCUAGGAAAUUCACUUAUCUUAUAGUUCAGGUAUGAAACUCAAAAAAACGAAAUUGUUUGUGUUCAUUUAGCAUGUUUAUGUUAGUAUAUUUAUUUUCUUAAUUAUUUUUUUUAUGUUUGUGUGUUAGUAUAUCUGAUAAUUAAUUAGCAUCAAUAUGACAAUAUUAAAAAAAAUUCAUCACCAAAAUUGUUGGGAUCGUAAGAGAUCUAAUUGGGUCAAUGGUUGUCUUCUAAUUAGUGAGAUUUUUUUUAAUCAUUACCCAGGUGGGAUAAAAUAUUUUGUCAUAACAUAAAAACAUGUCAUUUAAUUUGACUUACACUGACAUAAAUGUCAUCUAAUUUUGAGUUUUCACAAAUAGACACUUAAACUUGUAUAAAAUUGAACAAAUAGACACAUUUUUCCUACAUGACGUUCAACAUGACAAUUUUGUGUUCUACAUAGCAUCGUACUUGUAUUAUAUCUUGUAGGGCACGUGUGUCUACUUGUGCACAAUUUACAAUUUUAUUUUUAUAUAUCUUCAUUGUAUUCAACCAUAAGAACUUGUGAAUUGUAUAUCCACAAGGUAUAUACAACGUAAACACCUGUGGGAUAUAAUGAUAUUUUUUAUAAAACAAAAAAUUGUGUAAUUACUUUUUUUGGCCAUAUAUCUCAUAGUACGAAAUAGAAGAUAGGAGUGUGAGUUGCUUCAUGAUUUUCAAUGGGACGUAACUAACCUUUCUAACUUCUAAGAUAACCAAGCGAAAAAAGUGUAUUCUAAGAUAAUCCAGGGAGGAUAGCUAGCGAAAUUUACUUACCUAACAAAAUAACCAAAAAGGAAACGAAGAAAACCUUUUGGAUUAAUGUUGCCUUCUUCAUUCUCUUCCAAUUAGUAUUUUGGUAUUAUUGAAAAUUUAAAGUAUUGUUAAUUUAGCAAUUUAUAUGUUUAUAAUAUAGGGAAGAAAAGGCAUUGACCACAACUUGUUGAUAGAGAAAUAAUAACCACAUUCAUAUGACCACAAAUUUAAACCUUAUUUUCAUCAUAUACUAUUCAACCAUUGAGCUUCCUUAAACUUUGCUUUUACCACUAUUUUCUUUUAGAAAUGAUUGUAGUAUUCUAGCCAGUUUUUUAUGCUAUCUCCCACCAGCAAUAGAUAUCAGAUAACUCUGUCCAUCAAGAUUAAGACAAAUUGAAGAAUCACCUAGUAGUUUUUAAUCUUUGCUGAGUUUCCACCACUUUUUUUAAUCUUAAAAAAAAUAUAAUAUAUUAAAAAAUAAAUUAAUGGAAAUUUUCCUCUAUAAAAAUAAAGUUAAACUUUACCUGCUAUCGAGUCUAUUGACACGUGUAUGUCCGUUAGUAUAAAGGGUAUAUAUGCUCUAAUUUUUGGACAGCAGGGGCACCAAUGUCCCAAAAGUAUGACGGAGGUUAUAUGUAUAUCAUUUAAGAUAGUUCGGAGGUUACCCGCUAUAUAUAUCGAGUUAAUUUAUAGAAAAAGUUACAAUAAUGCCCUAGCAGGUGUUGAGGAAUUACAUCGAUUUAUAUAAAUAAUGUUGAGACGAUAUUUGUAUAUGCACCUAUAAUUUUUGUAUUUCGUUUUGAUAUAUUCAUUACAUGAAUGAAUAUAAUUGAUAUAGGUUGUGAUCAUUUCGUUACACAAAUAAAUACAAUUAAUUAAUAUUGAUACAUAUCAAAAAUCCACUUUAAAACUUUCUAUUAUAUAUUUUCAUUAAAUUUUGCAUUGCUUACAUUCUUAUAUAUAUAAGGCCCGCAUAUAUUUUAACAUCUUCAAAUUUCACUAAGUUUUUUUUAUAAAAUUUGGAUUUAGGUCUCCGAUCUUAUUGAGACAACCCGGUGGACAAUAGCAAGUACGAGUCUUUUGGUUACAUAAUGGUUUCCCAACGUCGCAUAUCAAUUGGUGAUCACAGUCUUCAUCCACAUCGCACACAAGCCCCCCAUUGCUUCCUUGUCCUAAUUACACCAUUAACAUUAUUGAAUAAGUUAUAAUGAAGAAAAAAAAUAGAGUUAUCAUAAUUAAAUUAAAUAAAAAGAGAUUAAAAUUGAUUAUAAGUGGAAUAGUUAUAGAAGAGAGUUGGAUUAGUACUUAAUUAUACCUAGCAAAAUAAGCAAAAAAGACACUAAGAAAACCUUUAGGAAUGCUGCCUUAUCCAUUCUCUCUUCCAAGUACUAAUUUUGGUUGCACUAAAAUAAUUAUAUGAAUUUUUUGAUUGUUAUCUCUUUGUAACUUAAUUCUUAUCUUAGCAAUCUAUUUAUAGGGGAAAAAGUUGACCAAGGUUGAAUAAAAUCUAGCUAUUUGGAUAAGUUAGUUAAAACUUUAAUUUGCCAUUUUAUAUUUUGGAUAAUUUAAGAUCCAUUUUUUUAUUUUUGUACUCCCUCUGUCCCAAUUUAUAGGACGUUUUUCAUUUUUCGAGAGUGAACCAAUUUAAGUUUGACCAAAAAUUUGCGCAUGGAAUUUUAAAUUUUUUUGAAACAAAAUUUAUAUAUUUGUAAACUAUGUAAAAAGUACUAUAAGUCACAGUGAUUGACAAUUUAAAAUAAUUAAAAGAUAAAUGAAAAAUUUACGAUCAAAGAAUUGUUUGAAUUUCGAAAUUCGAAAAAUGUCACAUAAAUUGAGAUGGAGGGAGUAAUUAAUUAGAUUUCUAAGAUUGGAUUACACGGGUCACGGAUAUAUCAUUAUUGACUAAAUAUAGUAAUAUAAUUGUUUGUUAUAAUUAAUGGAGAAAAGUCUAAAAUGCCCUGAUGUCAACCUUUUGGCCCAAGAAUAUCCUCAAUAUUAACUCUUUGGCUCAUAUUUGCCCUUGUUAUUAACAACUCCCCAAAAAUAAAUUCAUUAACUAUUUGUUUGUUAUGUUGACCGAUUUGUUUGGUCCAAAUUUAAAUCCUUCUCAAAUAAAUAAUAAAAACCACAUAUAAUUCAUACUCUUACCCAAUACACUUGAAAAAUACUUUCCCUAUCCCUCUUUACGUGUCCAAUUUUAAAUUUUUACUUGUCAUUUUUGACAAAUCAAGAAAAAAGAAUUAUUUCUUUUACCUAUUAUAACCUCAAUUUAUUUAGAGUUAAUGUUUUUGAAAAAGGUAGAACCUCUUUAAUGAGUAAAUUGAUUUUGAAAUUCUAUCAAUUAAUAGGGGUAAAAGGGUAAACUCAUUGUGUCAAUUAUUAUUUUCUUAAUAGGUGUGUCAAGUCAAAAAUGGACACGUAAAUAAGGACAGAGGGAGUAAUAUUUUAAAAAAUAUUAUUUCAUGAUAUUUCCUAUUGACCUAUUUUAAAUCAAUCCUCAAUUUAUUAUAACCCAAAUCAUAACGGGGGAUCCAACUAAAAUUCAUACUCGUCUUAUCUGAUUGUCCAUUAUUUCAAUACCACUGUAUGAACUUGUAAUGACCUGUUCCCGUCGUUAUAGAAAAGCCAACGGGGAAAAAAUUUGGGCCAGAAAACUUUUUUUGUAGUAACUUGGAAUUUCCCAACCUAAUCCAGAUUUGGACGAAAUCGAAAUCAAUAAGUUCUAGGGAAAACUAGUAACAAUUGGGUGAUCUAACUAUGAUUUUGAUCACAUAGGUAGAUAGCUAAGACGUUAAGGAACCCGUGCGACUUUACGAAAUUGAAUUGGAGCGAGUAGAAUUCCCAAAACUGAUCUUAGCGUGAACGGGUAGUUUCUGAGUGUCAUGGGUUGGAGGUGUGUUGUGAAAUGGGAGUUUGAAACUCUUAAAUCAACUCACUGGUUUCGUGCAAGCCGUUGUGGUGGGAUUUGUCCGCCAGGGUGGGGCCGCUGUAGCGGGGUGAGGACCACUGUGGCGGGCCAGUCACGAAUUAAGUCGGAAAUAAACCCCAAAAUCAUUUUAUUCUGCAAGUUUCGACUUUAAGAGCUAGGAGACAAUCCCAGGUGCUUUCUUGACAGUUUUCCACCAUUCUUGAGGCUAAAGGUAAGGUUUUCACUCCCCGAAUCUGUUUUUCGAUUCAUAGAACUUAGUUUCGUGGGUAAUUAUUAUCGGGGAAGGGUUUUGGAACUGUUUUAAUGGUAGGAAAAGCCCUAAUUUGGAUAUUGGGAUCAAGGAUUUGACCCAGGGUUGACACUAUUUAUUAUAGUCCGGGUAAUUAAGUCUUGUUUAUUGAUCCUAGCAUUAUAUUGUUUGUUUGUAGACUAAGAACAAGCGGAAUCUGAAAAGGGAAGAAUCAAGUUUCUUAGGGGAUUUUCAAGCUUUGUUCGAGGUAGGUAAUGGUUGUGAUUUCAUGUUGUGUGAUAUAUGUUUAAUUUGUUCUUGCUUCAUUAUAAUGCAUGUAUGUAUGCGAAUGUUGCAUGGUUGAUCUCACUAAUCGUAAAUAAGGAUAGACGGAUAAUUGAAUGCCAUGAAUAAUGACUUGAUUGUAUGAGAAUGUACUUGUGAUUGUGAUUGUGGCUUGUUGAAUAGAUCGAGUGUUACGUUCCGACACACUAACUGGGAUCGGCUUCCACGUACCGGCAUAAACAUUGGAACAAGUGUCACGAUCUGACACACUAACUUGGAACGGGUACCACGUACCGGUACACUAACUGUUUGGGUGUGGGUUCCAUGAGAGGACCAUUGACUUGACAUAAGUGAAAUUGUACGUUGUUCGUAAAUGAUGUUGAUAUUGUAUAUGUUCAGUUUAUGCAUGUUAUUAUUAUGUUGUAAUGACUUAUGUAUGUUGCACUUAGUGGGAUAGCUAUGUGAUCCUACCAGUACAUUGUGGUUGUGUACUGAUACUGCACUUGCUCUUUCUUUGUUGAGUACAGGGCAUCUUCAAGCGGCUAUUGGCAGACCUCGUUUAGAAGAUCAGUGAUCGUCAUCGAAUUCAAGGGUGAGCCAGUUCUUCUGGGCUGCCAUGAGUUCUCUUUUCGUUUAUGUCCCCAUUUCGGACUUAUACUAGUACAUUAUGAUUUCUUAUGUUAAAUUGGGUGGUACCCAUUUUCUUAGACUUGUUGGACUUUAGAUGUUUUGGUACAUUGACUUUCAGGUUCUAGAUAUUAUUCCGCAUUUGUUUUGUUAGACUUUUGUUGGAGUUUAUGGGAACUCCCUAUUUUCCUUUUCUUAGACAUUUAAACCGGUUUCCGUAUCUUUAAAUGCCUUAGUUUUUGGUUAAGUUGCUUAGUUUGGGUUGUAGUAUUGGUUCUCCCACCAAAGGGUAAGUGUGGGUGUCAAUCACGACGGUCUGGGUCGUGACACAACUAAUCAAAAAUCCAGUGUAGCACAUUAUAUCAACUUUUCAAAUCUUAAAACAUGUACAUUAUAUUAUAAAUUUUCAUUAAAUUUUUCAUUAAUUACAUUCUUAUAUAAUAAGGCCUACAUAUAUCUUAACCUCUUCAGAUUUCACUAAGGUUUCUUUAUAAAAUUUGAAUUUAGGCCACCAAUCUUGUCAAGACGACCCUGUGGACAAUAGCAAGUACGAGUCUUUAUGUCACAUAAUGGUUUCCCAACGUUGCAUAUCAAUUGGUGAUCACAAUCGCCAUCUUCAUUGCACACAAGCCCCCCAUUGCUUCCUUGUCCUAAUAACACCAUGAACAUUAUUGAAUUAGUUAUAAUGAAAAAAAAAAUAGAGUUAUCAUAAUAAAAUUAAAUAAAAAGAGAUUAAAAUUGAUUAGUACUUAUACCUAGCAAAAUAAGCAAAAAAGACACCAAGAAAACCUUUAGGAAUGUUGCCUUAUCAAUUCUCUCUUCCAAGUACUAAUUUUGGUUGCACUAAAAUAAUUAUAUGGAUUUUUUGAUUGAUAUCUCUUUGUUACUUAAUUGUUAUCUUAGCCAUGUAUUUAUAGGGGGGGGGGGGGGGGGGGGGGGGCACACAUUUAUUAAUUUAUAUUNNNNNNNNNNNNNNNNNNNNNNNNNNNNNNNNNNNNNNNNNNNNNNNNNNNNNNNNNNNNNNNNNNNNNNNNNNNNNNNNNNNNNNNNNNNNNNNNNNNNNNNNNNNNNGGGGGUGGGGGGGGGGGGGGGGGGGAAGUUGGCAAAAUCUUAGCUAUUAAUGUAUUUAUAACAAAAAUAAGUUGGUUAUAACUUCAAUUUGCCUUUAUAAAAUUUGGAUAAUUUCAAAUCAAUUUUUUCUUUUUGUAAUUAAUGAGAUUUCUAAAAUCGUAAUUAAUGAGAUUUCUAAAAUCGAAAUAAUUGAAUACAUUAUUAUUGACUAAUAAUACUAUUAUUAUUAUUUGUUAUUGAAUUGGUACAAAACUACCAUUUAUCUACCUUUCGGGCUAGAUAUACCUAACGUUAAUCUUUUAGCUAAAAAAUUUCUUCAAUAUUGACCCUCUGACUCAUACUGGCCUUUAUUAUUAGCGACCACCCUAAAAUAAAUUCAUUGAAUAUUUAUUUGUUAUGUUGACUAAAAUAAAUUCAUUGAAUAAUUCAACAAGUAGACAAGUCCUAUGUGACAUCCUACAUGACAAUUUGCAUUCUACAUAGCGUCCUAUGUGCAUUAUGUCACGUAGUAUGUCUGUAUCUGUUUAUUCAAUUUUAUACAAGUUAAAGUAUCUACUUGUCUACAUUCAAAGUUGAAAGACAUAGAUGUCAGAUGAAACCAAGUUAAAGGGGUCGGUAAUUGUGGUAACACAAUAAGAGCCUAAAAAGAUACUAAAAAAAUAUAAAACCAUAAUAUAUAGCCUUAUCCACGUAUAGCCUUAACCAUUCAAAAUAUAUGGAUAAUAAAGUUAGAAAACAGAGAGUAAACAAGCAAGAACAGAGCAACACAACUCAACAACAAUGGAGAAUUCUUUAACACUUUCACUACUCUCCACAAUUCCAGUUCCUAAUCCAGUACUCUCAACAAAAUGUAGUGUUCAUUUUCGAGGUUCGAUUUCCUCGAAAAUUGGUACAAAAUGUGGUGAAUUUAGAUCAUCAACAAGAUUGUAUGCAGGGCUAACAGAGAUAGAACCAGAUAUUAACGAAGAUCCUGUUGAUCGAUGGAGAACUAAUGGCAUCGACAUUGUAAUGUUUCUUUUCUUCGUUGUUUUUAAAUAAUUGUGGUGUUCGAGUCAGUUUUCUACCUUCUAUCAACAUAGAUAUCGAAUAAUUUUGAUAUAAUACAUAAUGUCCUUUUAACUUGGAUUUAGCUGACAUUUAUGUCCUCCAAUUUUGGGUGAACACAAGUAGACACGCCCUAUGUAUGUCACGUAGGACACAAAAUUGUCAUGUAGGACGUCACGUAAGACAAAUGUAUAUAUUUAUUCAAUUCUAUAUAAGUGUAUAAGUGUCUACCUGUGCUAUUGUGCACACUCAAAGUAAGAUGGCAUGGAUGUUAGUUGAAACCAAGUUGAAGGAUAUAUUUAUGUAUUAUGUCAAUAAUUUUUUCCACUAAAAUUUUGACAGAUGAGAAGAAAUCAUCUACUAAUAUUAUCGACCACUAGUUUAAGACAUAGGCAUGUUAACUAAUUUUUAUUUUAUUUUUAUUUGUUGCAGGAAGAUUAUGUUUUUGGAAAAUACGAUGAUCAUCAUACGUACUUUGAGAGUGAAGAUAAAAAAGGUACAUAACAAUGUAUGUGUUUUUUUUUUCUCUUUUUAAUUUGUAAUUUUGAUUUGGAAAAAUGUCUAAAUUUGUCCAAUGUAUUAUUUGAAUUCGAUCAAAUUAGUCUUUGUUCGACUUUUCGUUUGGUAAAUUGUUUCAUAUUUGUCCAACGUGAAAUUGGUGAACUCCACGUGUUCAAAUUCUUCAAAAAAACACAAUAUUUGAGUAGCUAUUUUUACAAAUAAAUAGGUAAAUGGAUUUAUACUUAAAAUUGUCCUUAAUUAUAUUUUACUUGCCUUUUCAGUAUCAUUUUGGGGAUCCAUAGCAGAAGAUUAUGCUGCUAUUGCACCCCCAACAGGAUUUCAAGGUAUGUAACAAAUUACCAUAAUCACAUGAUCAUUAACAUGAUCUGUUUAUUUAGUUAUUUACUUUUCGCACUUCGCCUAAUUCCACGAGAUAUCUUCCAUCAACAAGUAUCAUCUAAUUCUAUCCAUCCACCAAUGGGUUGUGGUGCACUGAUGAGAGUGUUUCACCCUUAACUAGAGGUUUUGGGUUCGAGCCCUGAAUAUGAAGAAAAUCAUGUUGGGAGCGCCACCCCCGAAUAUACCCUGCAGUGUGCGAUCCGAAUUUAAUCGAGGCUCCAGACACCUUGUGAGAAACCAAAAAAAAAACUAUAGCCAUCCACAAAGGAUAGGACAGAUGGAAAUAAUCACCUGGUGUUUUUUUUUUCUCCGCUGAGAAUAGAACAUGAGACCUCAUGACUCUUAACCAAUUCAUUGGCCACUAGGUCACUCUCUCCGUUGAGAAUAGAAUCUGAGACCUCAUGACUCUUAACCACUUCAUUCGCCACUAGGUCACACCCUUGAGUGCUUAUUUAGUUAUUUACUUACGAUAACUUAUUUUCUGGUGUUCGACAAUAGGUAUUAUUUCAUGGCUGUUUCCUCCAGCAAUUGUUGCAGGAAUGUACUUCAAUGUUCCUGUAAGUUCAUGAUAAAAAAAUCUCCAUUCAUUUUUUCGAGUCUCGAAAAUGCCCUUUUCCAGAAAACUGAAGUCUUGUAUUUUCACUUCUUGACAAUGCAGGGGGAGUAUUUGUACAUUGGAGCAGCUGUUUUUACAAUUGUGUUCUGCAUUAUUGAGAUGGACAAACCAAGUGAAGCACACAAUUUCGAGCCUCAAAUAUACAACAUGGAGAGAGGCGCGCGAGAUAAGUUAAUAUCGGAUUACAACACAAUGGACAUUUGGGAAUUCAACAAGAAAUAUGGCGAUUUAUGGGAUUUUACUGUUAAGAAAGACGAUAUCAUGAAACGAUAGAAAUAAAAAUGAAACAAAUUCAUAUAUACGUAAGGUAUAUAUUUGAAUCGCGUAAUGAUCAUUGGUUUUCAUCGAUUACUCGAGGAUGCAUAUGUUCUGGUGUUGAUCCAUGGCUGUAGUAUUUGUUUCUUAACUACAUAGAGAUGAAAAAAACUCUAAUGAACUCCUUGCGGAAGAAUUACACUGUAUAUAUAUAAGGUCAAGGUUAUAUUAUUUCUUAUUUGUAUAUGUCGAAUCCCUUUAUCAGUUCUUUAUAUUUUGAAUUUCUUUAAUGAAAAUCUUGAUUCCGCUACUGCUAUGAGAGUUCUAUAAAUCAAGAAGUGCAUAGGAUGUUUGAUUGCAUGAUAAGUGAUAAUAACUAACAUGAUUUGGUUACUUAGUUUUUUGUUUUCUAUUUUUUUUUUUAUGAAUGUUCUGAUAUUGCUUGUUUUAAGUAGCUGCAUUAGCUCUAUGUGCUACUCUCCCCGUUUUAUUUUAUAUGAGUUUGACUUGACAUAAAAAAAAAUUAAUUUUUUUUUUGAAACUUAUGGUAAAAUGGAUAUUUUAAAAUUAAGUUGUUACUUAAUAUAAAAUUAGUCGUUCUUUUCGGACUGACUAAAAAAAAAAGUGAGUCAUAUAUAAACUAGGACAGGAGAGUAAUAGUUAAUCAUUUCUCAAAAGAUGUAAGUACUAUUUAUAUUAAAUUUUAACACAUGGUCACUAAAGAGCAGUGGAUGUUGCAUUACUUCGCACUUAGAAAUUCUAAAUUCGCCUUUGUUAAGGAUACUUAAAGAGAGAGAGUAUAUACAGGACGCUUGAAUAACCGCUAUCAAUGACAUAGUAAAAAAAUAAUAUCUUAAAAUUUACAAGAUUGAAAUUUCAAACUUCAAACAUACGAGUUUGAAGUUAAGUUGGACUUACAAAGGAUUUGAUAUGAGAAAAAUUACAAUUACUAAUAAAAUUGGGACUUGGCAAAAGAGGUGAAAACAGAUAGUUUGGUGAGGGUGCAAUAGAAAUGAUUACAUUUUUCAUGACUUAUGAAGUUAUCAAUCAUAGUAAUUAAAUGUGACAAAUGCACAAAUUGGAGCAAAAAUUAAUACUUUGAGGUUCAACUAACCUCAAAAUUUAAUUAGUGCUUCUCAUUUUUAUAACUCUUGACUAAGACAAGAUAAGGUAUGACUAGUUCAAAUGGACUUAGUCAAAGAUCACUUUCACAAAGACAGCAGUGAAUAACAUAGGUGUAUGCAAAAUUAUUUUGCAAGAAUUGUCAACUUUUUGUCAUCACAAUUUAGUUUAUAAGUGGAUUUUUCAUGCGUGGAGUCGAUACAGAUUCAAUAAAAUUCAAUAAUUUUAACUCAAAACAUGUAUAUUGUUGAGAAAUUCAAUAAAUAUGUACAUAGAAUAAAUUUUAUAAUGUUGGAUCAACCUUUAAGAUUUAGGUAUAAGACGGGUGAUUUCAAGGCUUUAUUUUUUAUCUAAUACUAGCUUGUUUAGCCAAACUUUUGAAAAGAUUGAAAUUUCAGAUAUUAUGAAAAUAUAUAAGAAAUAAAAAAAAAUACGAAGUGGUGUCAAAUAAUACCAAGCAUUUAUGUGUCACUAUUUGAUGGCAAAAGUCCUUUUAAUGACCCCUCCAAUACUCUCCAAAGGACCCCAUUGGCUUCCAUAGUCAAGUUUAAAAGUCUUGGUCUUCAUCAUUUAUGGGCCAAUUUGAAGAUUAAUUGUAUGUCACCUAAUCGUGUCAUCGAAUCAUUAGCUUUAAUACGAGUUGUUGGAUCAAUACUUUUACAUGGUAUGAUAUUAUCCGUUUUGAAUCAAGUCUGCAGGUUUUUCUAAAAAGUCUCACAUCAUUAAGAGAAUCCUACAUCUUAUAUGUGUGUAUUUUUUUCUUUUCAACUUCAUAUGUAGAAAUUAGUUUGCAUGCUCAACAAUAACAACAUAUAUUUUAAUGUCCAAUUGUGUUAAUUUCAUCACUAAAGACAGAGGUGGAUUCGAUAUGGGAAAAAGGUGCAAUAGAAAUGUACUUAUGAUGUUACCAAUCAUAGUAAAAGGUGAAGCUUUGCUUGGACCAAAAUUUUUAUGAGGUUCAACAAACCUAUGUGCAUUAGUACUUUCCUAUCUUUUAACUCUUGAACUCUUCGCAUGUGAGCUUGCUUAGAUUGUUGGUGUCAAGUCUGAAUAAAAGAGAAAAAUUGUCAAAAAUCAAUUGAAAAUAACUUUUCUAUCUCAUAAAAUUAAGAUAGGACUACACACAUUUUAUCCUUCGUGUAAAUUGUAUUUGUAAAAUUAAACUGAAAUAGUUGUCAUUGUUAUUGAUUUUUAACUCUUGAAUAGUUUAUGACUUGUUCAAAUGGACUUGGUCAAAGAUCACUUUCACAAAGACAGUAGUGAUUUACAGACGGACAAGAAGUGUCAUCUAUUUGUCAUCACAAUUUAUCUUGAAAGUAGAAGUAGAUUUAUCAUGUGUGAGUUUGAAUUCAAUAACUUUUACUUAAAAUUUUAUAUAUUUAGAACUCUCAGAUCCUAAAUUCCUCUUUAAAAUUUAAAACUAAGAGUUUCAUAAUAUUGAGGCUUUAUAUUUGAAUUUAUCUCUUAUUUUGUCAAGUUUAUUGUACGCAUGAAAUUUUAAAAUAUUAUGUGCAUACAUAAAAAUAAAAAUACGAAGCAGUAUCAGAUAAUACCGAAUUUUUAUGUGUCACUAUUCGAUGGCAAAAAGUCCUUAUAAAUGACCUCUCCAAUACUCCUCAAAGGCCCCAUUGGCAUCCAUAAGUCAAGUUUAUAAGUCUUGGUCUUCCUAAAUAAAUCCAAAGUGGAAUUUGGCUAUUAGGAUUCUAGACCAAAGUUGACGUUUGAUUUGGAAAAUAAAGUUUGGCUUAAUAUUGGCUAUUAAUAUGCAGAGUUUAGUUAUUUAUAUACUCUAUCAUGUAUAAAAUAAUACUUAAAUUUUCUCAUAAUUAAUAUUGUGUAUUAGUUAUUUCAUCUUUUAUUUUGCAUAAAGUAAUAUAUAGAUUUUUUUUCAUAACUUAUAUAUGUCUUAGUUAUGCGAAUUUCUAAAUUGCAAAUCAAUCACAUACAUAAUUUAUAAAAUAACAAGCCACCAAACAUAAUAUUACUUACGCAAAAUUUGAUAUCUACAUAACUUAACUCCAAACAAACUACCAAACCACUCUGAAUGAACAAGGUUUUCCCUAAUUAUUGCAAUAGUUUUAUAUACCUUGGAAAAAGAUGUAUCUCAGAAAUAGCUAUAGCUAGUAGUCCAAACAUGUGAAAACCUCUUGCAGAAAAAACAACAAAUAUAAACAUGAGUAUUUUCUACAAUAUGGUUGACAAAAGACUCUUCUAGGUGGGACCAUCAAAUUGGAAAACCUCCAUCUUCGUUUGAUAGAGUGUAUUAGUUAUGCUUAAAUUAAUAAUACUUGAAUUAAUUAUACAUAAAUUAUUUGUUAUGCAUUGUUUGGUUUGGUGUAUUAAAACUAGCAUGGUAUACAAAUAUUUAUUUACAAAGAUAUCAUUUACAAUUUAUGGUGGAAAAGAUGUAAAAAAACAUAUUUGAGGGGAAAUGAAGCUUUUAACCAUGCUAAUGCAUGCAUUAUAAAACCUCAUGCAUUACUGAUACCUAGAAAUUCAUGGUAUUAGUAAUACAUACCUUAAUACACAAUACAGUGUAUACAUAUCAUGAAAAAGUGUAUCAAAUAAAAUAUUACUAAUACACAGAGCUAAUGCAUGCAUUAUUUUUGCUAAUACACUUUACCAAACGACCCGUAAUGUUCAACACAACAUCAUAUGAGAAAUUAAACAACAACCAAUCAAAUGAAAAAAAAAUCCCCAUUACUCAUUAAAUGGUCAAAACCAAGACUAAAUAUGAGAAAAAACAAGAAGAAGUUUGGUAUAUAAACGUAUAUAACUCCAUCAUAUUUUAUACAAACACACAUCUCUCCUCCAACAAAAAAACAAAGCAAAAAAAAUGAUAACAAAAACAAUAUUUGGUUUUUCACUUCUUCUCUUCUUAUCAUUCAUAUUCAACCAAAACAUAUGUUAUGCACAAGAUCCACCAAGCAUAACAGGAUAUACUUGUAAUCCCAACCAAUUCAAUCCAUGUCAAACUUAUGUGUUAUACAGAGCUAGAGGACCAGAGUUUCUUGAUUUAGCCACAAUAGGUGAUCUUUUUUCAGUAAGUAGGGUAAUGAUUGCAAACCCAAGUAAUAUUUCCAACCCAAACACAACUCUUGUUAAUGAUCAAUCCCUUUUUAUCCCCAUCACAUGUUCUUGCAAUAACAUCAACACAACUUUUGGUAGCAUAUCUUAUGCUGGCUUAAACUACAAUUUCAAAGAAGGUGACACUAUGUAUGAAAUGUCAAUAUCCAAAUACCAAAAUCUUACUACUUAUCAAUCUGUUGAGGCUGUUAAUCCCACAGUUGUAGCAACCAACAUUGAUGUAGGCCAGACCAUAAAAUUCCCAAUUUUUUGCAAGUGUCCAAACACGACACAAAAUCAACCAAGACUACUCAUAAGUUAUGUUUUUCAACCUAAUGAUAACAUUUCUUCUAUCGCAUCAAGAUUCGGGAUAACCCCACAAUCCAUAACACAAAUUAAUGGAAAUAAUACCAAGAUUCUUGAUACCCUUUUCAUCCCUCUUUCUAAUCUACCUAAUCUUACACAGCCAGCAUCUUCAAACACCCCACCCCCACCCCCAGCACCAGCACCAGUAAUUCAAGAAAAUGACAGAAAAGAGACUGUCAUAGGGUUAGCAAUUGGUUUAGGGGUUUGUGGGUUGCUGUUGAUUUUGAUUCUUGGUUUGUUUUACAAGGAGAAAACAGUAAAGAAAGAAAAGUAUGGUGAUGUAGAAAGGCAAAAAAGUUUGUAUCUUGGAUCAAAAAAGAAGUCUUUUGUUGAUAAAGAUGUUGAAGUGAAUUUGUUGGCUGAUUUAUCAGAGUGUUUGGAUAAGUAUAAAAUGUAUAAAAUGGUACAACUUUGGGAAGCAACAAAUGGAUUUGAUGAAGGGUGUUUGAUUCAAGGGUCUGUGUUUAAAGGAACAAUUGAUGAAGAAGUGUUUGCAAUCAAAAAAAUGAAAUGGAAUGCCCGCGAAGAACUCAAAAUCCUGCAAAAGGUAAAAAAAAAAACGUUACGUAAAAUUCUGCAUAUAUACGUAUCCACUGCAGAAUUGCUUUUGUGUACUACUAGUAAAAAUCAUUUUAUUAAGGAUAACAUGAACACUUUAAAGUUAAAUUGUUACUGGAUAGAAUAUAUGUCAUUCUUUUCACCUUUUUUUGUUUGUGUAGGUGAACCAUGGGAAUUUGGUGAAGCUAGAGGGUUUUUGCAUAGACCCUAAAGAAGCAAAUUGCUACUUAGUCUAUGAGUAUGUUGAAAAUGGUUCACUACAUUCUUGGCUUCACGGUGAAAAACCUGAAAAAUUGAGCUGGAAAACAAGACUAAGGAUUGCCACUGAUGUUGCAAAUGGUCUCUUAUACAUUCAUGAACAUACAAGGCCAAGAGUUGUCCACAAAGACAUCAAGAGUAGCAACAUUCUCCUAGACUCCAACAUGAGAGCCAAAGUUGCCAAUUUUGGUCUAGCUAAAUCAGGGUGCAAUGCUAUAACAAUGCACAUUGUAGGUACUCAGGGGUACAUCUCCCCUGAGUACCUCACUGAUGGGGUUGUAUCCACUAAAAUGGAUGUUUUCUCAUUCGGGGUUGUGUUGCUCGAGCUUGUGUCAGGGAAGGAGGCUAUCGAUGAUGAAGGGAAAGUCUUGUGGGCAAAAAUUAGCGAUUUUUCUGAAGGGAGUGAAGAGAGGAAGGUGAGGAAAUUGCAAGAAUGGAUGGAUGAAAGUCUAUUGAGGGAAGAAUUAACAAUGGAAAGUGUUGUGAAUGUGAUGACUGUGGCUAUUUCAUGUUUGAAUAAAGAUCCUUCAAGAAGGCCAGGGAUGAUUGAAAUUGUGUAUGCCUUAUCUAAAAGUAUUGAUCUAUUUUCUGAUGUUUCAGAGGAAGGACCAUCUCCAAGGCAAGUCACAGCAAGAUAGACUACAUAAUAGUACUUGCAUAUUAUGUAAAGUUGUUUUGAAGUGGAGUAGCAUUUUGUGUUUUGAGGUUUGUACUUUACUUUAAAGUUUGCUUCUAUAUAAGUGUAAUAUUACUCCUAUAUUAUCUUUUCUAGUAGUAGUGGUAAAUCCAAUUUCGAAUAAGAGCAUGUUUAAGGUUGUUCUAGUGGAAUAUAUAUUAGUACCACAUAAGACACUUGUAAUGAAUUUAUCUUUAUGUUAUGUUGCUUGGAUUCUUCAAAAAUGAUCUUGCACUUGUGUCAAUUCUUUAAAAUUGCAUGUAUUAGUUAUGCGGUUUUCUAAAUUACCUCCUAAAUCAGCUAUCAAACAUGGUAUUACGUAACUUAACCUGCAUAACUCAACUCCAAACCAACUACCAAACGACCCUGAAUGAAAAGUAUUUCCCCUAACUCUUGCAAUAGUUUAAUAUACCUUGGAAAAAGACGUAUCUCAGAAAUAGCUAGUCCAAACAUGUGAAAACAUUCUGGAGAAAAACAACAAAUAUAAACACGAGUAUUUUCUACAAUAUGGUUGACCAAAAACUCUUCUAGGUGGGACCAUCAAAUUGAAAAAAAACCCAUCUUCCUUUAAUGUUAAAGACAAUACCAUAUGAGAAAUUAAACAACAACAACCAAUCAAAUAAUGCAAAAAAUCCCCAUCACUCAUUAAAUGGUCAAAAACCAAGACUAUGACAAAAAACAAGAACUUUGGUAUAUAAACCUCUUAUAACUCCAUCAUAUUAUAUACACACACAUCUCUCCUUCAACCAAAACCAAGAAAAUGAUAACAAGACCAAUAUUUGUUUUUUCACUUCUCUUAUUCUUAUCAUUCAUAUUCAACCAAAACAUAAUAUGUUAUGCACAAGAGCCACCAAGCAUCACAGGAUAUACUUGUAAUCCUAACCAAUUCAAUCCAUGUCAAACUUAUGUGUUAUACAGAGCUAGAGGACCAGACUUUCUUGAUUUAGCCUCAAUUGGUGAUCUUUUUUCAGUAAGUAGACUAAUGAUAGCAAACCCUAGUAAUAUUUCCAACCCAAACACAACUCUUGUUAAUGAUCAACCCCUUUUUAUCCCCAUCACAUGUUCUUGUAACAACAUCAACACAACAUAUGGUAGCAUAUCUUAUGCUGGCUUUAACUACACUUUCAAAUCAGGUGACACUAUGUAUGGUAUAUCAACAUCUAAAUACCAAAAUCUUACUACUUAUCAAUCUGUUGAGGCUGUUAAUCCCACAGUUGUAGCAACCAACAUUGAUGUAGGCCAGACCAUAAAAUUCCCAAUUUUUUGCAAGUGUCCAAACACGACACAAAAUCAACCAAGACUACUCAUAAGUUAUGUUUUUCAACCUAAUGAUAACAUUUCUUCUGUCGCCUCAAGAUUCAGGGUAACCCCACAAUCUAUAACACAAAUUAAUGGAAAUAACACCAAGAUUCUUGAUACCCUUUUCAUCCCUCUUUCUAAUCUACCUAAUCUUACACAGCCAGCAUCUUCAAACACCCCACCCCCACCCCCAGCACCAGCACCAGUAAUUCAAGAAAAUGACAGAAAAGAGACUGUCAUAGGGUUAGCAAUUGGUUUAGGGGUUUGUGGGUUGCUGUUGAUUUUGAUUCUUGGUUUGUUUUACAAGGAGAAAACAGUAAAGAAAGAAAAGUAUGGUGAUGUAGAAAGGCAAAAAAGUUUGUAUCUUGGAUCAAAAAAGAAGUCUUUUGUUGAUAAAGAUGUUGAAGUGAAUUUGUUGGCUGAUUUAUCAGAGUGUUUGGAUAAGUAUAAAAUGUAUAAAAUGGUACAACUUUGGGAAGCAACAAAUGGAUUUGAUGAAGGGUGUUUGAUUCAAGGGUCUGUGUUUAAAGGAACAAUUGAUGAAGAAGUGUUUGCAAUCAAAAAAAUGAAAUGGAAUGCCCGCGAAGAACUCAAAAUCCUGCAAAAGGUAAAAAAAAAAACGUUACGUAAAAUUCUGCAUAUAUACGUAUCCACUGCAGAAUUGCUUUUGUGUACUACUAGUAAAAAUCAUUUUAUUAAGGAUAACAUGAACACUUUAAAGUUAAAUUGUUACUGGAUAGAAUAUAUGUCAUUCUUUUCACCUUUUUUUGUUUGUGUAGGUGAACCAUGGGAAUUUGGUGAAGCUAGAGGGUUUUUGCAUAGACCCUAAAGAAGCAAAUUGCUACUUAGUCUAUGAGUAUGUUGAAAAUGGUUCACUACAUUCUUGGCUUCACGGUGAAAAACCUGAAAAAUUGAGCUGGAAAACAAGACUAAGGAUUGCCACUGAUGUUGCAAAUGGUCUCUUAUACAUUCAUGAACAUACAAGGCCAAGAGUUGUCCACAAAGACAUCAAGAGUAGCAACAUUCUCCUAGACUCCAACAUGAGAGCCAAAGUUGCCAAUUUUGGUCUAGCUAAAUCAGGGUGCAAUGCUAUAACAAUGCACAUUGUAGGUACUCAGGGGUACAUCUCCCCUGAGUACCUCACUGAUGGGGUUGUAUCCACUAAAAUGGAUGUUUUCUCAUUCGGGGUUGUGUUGCUCGAGCUUGUGUCAGGGAAGGAGGCUAUCGAUGAUGAAGGGAAAGUCUUGUGGGCAAAAAUUAGCGAUUUUUCUGAAGGGAGUGAAGAGAGGAAGGUGAGGAAAUUGCAAGAAUGGAUGGAUGAAAGUCUAUUGAGGGAAGAAUUAACAAUGGAAAGUGUUGUGAAUGUGAUGACUGUGGCUAUUUCAUGUUUGAAUAAAGAUCCUUCAAGAAGGCCAGGGAUGAUUGAAAUUGUGUAUGCCUUAUCUAAAAGUAUUGAUCUAUUUUCUGAUGUUUCAGAGGAAGGACCAUCUCCAAGGCAAGUCACAGCAAGAUAGACUACAUAAUAGUACUUGCAUAUUAUGUAAAGUUGUUUUGAAGUGGAGUAGCAUUUUGUGUUUUGAGGUUUGUACUUUACUUUAAAGUUUGCUUCUAUAUAAGUGUAAUAUUACUCCUAUAUUAUCUUUUCUAGUAGUAGUGGUAAAUCCAAUUUCGAAUAAGAGCAUGUUUAAGGUUGUUCUAGUGGAAUAUAUAUUAGUACCACAUAAGACACUUGUAAUGAAUUUAUCUUUAUGUUAUGUUGCUUGGAUUCUUCAAAAAUGAUCUUGCACUUGUGUCAAUUCUUUAAAAUUGCAUGUAUUAGUUAUGCGGUUUUCUAAAUUACCUCCUAAAUCAGCUAUCAAACAUGGUAUUACGUAACUUAACCUGCAUAACUCAACUCCAAACCAACUACCAAACGACCCUGAAUGAAAAGUAUUUCCCCUAACUCUUGCAAUAGUUUAAUAUACCUUGGAAAAAGACGUAUCUCAGAAAUAGCUAGUCCAAACAUGUGAAAACAUUCUGGAGAAAAACAACAAAUAUAAACACGAGUAUUUUCUACAAUAUGGUUGACCAAAAACUCUUCUAGGUGGGACCAUCAAAUUGAAAAAAAACCCAUCUUCCUUUAAUGUUAAAGACAAUACCAUAUGAGAAAUUAAACAACAACAACCAAUCAAAUAAUGCAAAAAAUCCCCAUCACUCAUUAAAUGGUCAAAAACCAAGACUAUGACAAAAAACAAGAACUUUGGUAUAUAAACCUCUUAUAACUCCAUCAUAUUAUAUACACACACAUCUCUCCUUCAACCAAAACCAAGAAAAUGAUAACAAGACCAAUAUUUGUUUUUUCACUUCUCUUAUUCUUAUCAUUCAUAUUCAACCAAAACAUAAUAUGUUAUGCACAAGAGCCACCAAGCAUCACAGGAUAUACUUGUAAUCCUAACCAAUUCAAUCCAUGUCAAACUUAUGUGUUAUACAGAGCUAGAGGACCAGACUUUCUUGAUUUAGCCUCAAUUGGUGAUCUUUUUUCAGUAAGUAGACUAAUGAUAGCAAACCCUAGUAAUAUUUCCAACCCAAACACAACUCUUGUUAAUGAUCAACCCCUUUUUAUCCCCAUCACAUGUUCUUGUAACAACAUCAACACAACAUAUGGUAGCAUAUCUUAUGCUGGCUUUAACUACACUUUCAAAUCAGGUGACACUAUGUAUGGUAUAUCAACAUCUAAAUACCAAAAUCUUACUACUUAUCAAUCUGUUGAGGCUGUUAAUCCCACAGUUGUAGCAACCAACAUUGAUGUAGGCCAGACCAUAAAAUUCCCAAUUUUUUGCAAGUGUCCAAACACGACACAAAAUCAACCAAGACUACUCAUAAGUUAUGUUUUUCAACCUAAUGAUAACAUUUCUUCUGUCGCCUCAAGAUUCAGGGUAACCCCACAAUCUAUAACACAAAUUAAUGGAAAUAACACCAAGAUUCUUGAUACCCUUUUCAUCCCUCUUUCUAAUCUACCUAAUCUUACACAGCCAGCAUCUUCAAACACCCCACCCCCACCCCCAGCACCAGCACCAGUAAUUCAAGAAAAUGACAGAAAAGAGACUGUCAUAGGGUUAGCAAUUGGUUUAGGGGUUUGUGGG